rnacentral:ncRNA from 1 species
AUAGCUGGUUAAUGGCAGCCACGCUUUUGAAGCGCCAGUGCUUUCUUUUCCGUCAGUGUCAGCUCUUCCUGUCAUUGCGGAACAGAAUCCAUCAAGCGUUGGAUUGUUCAUCCUUCAAUAAAGAACAUGAAGUGGGUUUAUCCCGUCGUGAGAAAAGUU